GUCAAUGCCGGCACUGUGCAAGCAACCUUGCCCUUCCCACGAGUUUUCUUCUGACCCACCUAUCCACCAGCCCGAGGAAAGCUUAAAGAACGCUCCCGGACUUCGCAGCGGCUCCAGCUCACACAAUCUCUGUCUCUUGCCAUCGGUUAGUCGGGCUCCCUCCACUUCCAGAAUUCCUGUCGGCCUCCCUUCGGCACCACUAGCCCCUCUGGAAUCGAAGAUGUGUUUAUCAAUGACCUUCGACAUAUCAGAGACAACUCCAAGUAAGAGGAAGGCAUUUGUCCCAGAAACUCAUGGAUCUGGGUGAGGAAGGAAUAUCCCAGAGUGAAGGGGACAAGGGAAGAGAAGAGAGCAAGAGGCAUCUCUCAUCUACUGAUUAACUCUCCAAAUAGCCACAACAGCCAACGGACUCCUGCGUAGGUGGCAGAUUUCAAUGCUUGCAUGAUCACCUGCUACCUCCCAGGACAUGCAUGUGUAGAAACCUGGAUGCAGGGUGGGACUGGGACUUCAGCCUAAGAACCCAGGUACUCUGGUAUGGAUGUAGACAUCCCAAGCAGCAGCUUGAGUAUUGCACUAAAUGUCAGGCCCCACCUACCACUUUUUACUUAAAGAGGAGAUACUCCGUCAGCAUCAAACUUCACUGAAUAUUUCUGCUUAUCUUUUUGACUUUCAGUUUCUAGUAAUUCCUGGGCACUUUGUCACUCCAGAUAUUCUCAUUCUAGUUUUUGUUGUUGUUAUAUUUUUAACCAAUUGUUAAAGAAGAGAGAAAGAGAGUUUGCUGUGUAGUGUUUCAUUAAUUCCCAUCAAAUGUUUCUCUCUCUAAAGAGCCUUUGUGUUUCCAAUUCUGCUAAUAUGCAAUUUCAAGAGCUUGUAUGUUCUGUUGCAUAUGAAAUUCGGAUAUCUAUAGAAUCAGAAUCUGCCAUAUAGAGUGGUUUUUAAUGUUUCAUGUAUUCUCAUUGUCUUACCUCCUGUCGUAACAACUGGCUUUGGUAAAGAAGAUGAAAAUGAUCCUUUGUUUUCUAAGAUUCUUAUUUUCUCUCAUUAUAACUAGUACUCAAAUUUCCUAGUUUUACAUAAUAUAAUGCACAAUGUAACUUAUAUUUUUCUUUCAUAAUAACCAUGCAUACAGAGCACUGUUUUUAACAGACCACAUAAUUGCAUAUGAUUUAUAAAUCAUUUGUGCAUACAUGUCUAUUAAGGCUUUAUAUACAUUAUGAAACACAGAGCGAGAAUUUUAAAGAGAUAAAAAGAAACAUAAAGAGAAUACCAGAAAUGAACCGUUUGCUGUGCACUGAAUGUGUCUCUCCAGAUUUAUAUGGUGAGACUAAACCUCAACAGCAUGGUGUUAGGAGUUGGGAUCCUCAGGAAGUGAUCAGGUUUGAGAUCAGAGUCUUCAGUAUGCGGUCAGACUCAGAGACCCCAGGGACCCUUCUCUCAAAUCUGUCGACAUCUUCAUCUUGGACUUCCCAGCCUCCAGAACUCAGGAGAUACCUGCUGAAAUGUCUGUCGUUUGUAGCUGUCCAGUCUAGGCAUUUUGUUACAGUAGCGCAAACAUACUAACUCAACAGUAUUAGCUUGCAGGCACCUGCAGAGGUCAUUACUAUUAUCCGGCUUUGACCAAGACUUAUGAAGGAUGCUAUGCCCCCUUUGCAAGAGAAAUUCAGAGAAGACGGGGAAGGCAGCUUGUUCUCUCUUUCUCUCUUACUUGCUCUUUCCUCUGAAAUUAUCUCAUAAGAACAUGCAGAGAAACUGUGAUAGCACAACCAAGUCCUCAUAUAUAAUAUGACUCACUCUGAGGGAUUCUGACUGGACACCACCAGCUCUCAAAUAUGGAAGCCAAUAGACCAUGGCUGUCUUUCAGGACAAAAGUCCAUACUGGUAGGAACUGCUAUGUGGGGAAAUGAAACUGGGGGGCACAGGGACAAUACGGCUAGAGGAGAUACACGUUAGCUCUUAGUGGUAGAGAGUGAACAUGGAGGAAGGAUUCAAAGUUCAAUGCCAUGUGUACCAAUCACUUUGCAAACAAAACAGCUGAAAAAUUAUCCUGUUUCAUUUCUUUAACUGGAAAAUGAAGGGAAAAUAAGUGUAUGUGAAAAUAAUAAAUCAAGGGGAUAUAUGCUUAGAGAUAGGUAUGAACACCAAACUCAAUUCUGUUAAUUUAUUUUAGACCAAAAUGUGAAGAUACCAAAAUAAAGCUUACAGAGGAAAAUGUAGAAGAAAAUCUUCAUGACCUUGGAGCAGAAAAUUUUCUUAUCUUCAACAAGAUACAAUAAUUGGACCAUAAAGAGACAAAUUGUACUGUUAAAAUUUAGAAUUUGUUUUCAUUAAAAAAAUUGGUGAGUUAUAAAAAGUGAAAAGGGAAGUCACAAUGUGAGAAAAAUACUUGUAAAAUAUAUUUCUGACAAAUGAUUCAUAUGCAGACUAUAUUUAAAUAAGGUCUACAAAUCAGCGAAAGAAAAUCAGGAUGAUUCACUUAGAAAAAAAUGGCAAACGAGUUGAAUAAAUACCACAUAAAAGAAUAUACAUGCCCAGGAAACAUAUGCAAAAGUGCUCAACUUCAUUAGGGAAACAAAAAUUUAAAUCAUAAUGCGGUACAAAUUCACAAAGACUCAAAUGGUUAAAAUGAAGUGGAUGGAGAUGAGGAAGAGCCAAGGGCACUCUCACACUUGGCUGGUGUGCACAACAGUUUGGAAGUAUUUACUACAUACACCUUGAAUAUAUGCAAAUGCCUCUUUAAAAGGAAUUUAUUAAUACAUUAGAUUCACAGGGUCACAGAAAAUGCAUGAUAAUUACAACAGCACAAUUCUCAUGUUAAUGUGUUACUAAUGCAAAGAGAACAGAUUCAAUUAGUUCACAGACACAAUUUUAAGAAAAUGAUACUUCCCUCU